rnacentral:rRNA from 1 species
GGCUCAGGAUAAACGCUAGCGGUGUGCAUUAUGCAUGCAAGUCGAGCGGUAUAUCGAAAGAUAUGCAGCGGCAAACGGCUGAGUAACACGUAAGUAAUCCGUCCCAAAGUGGGGAAUAAUCCGCCGAAAGGUGGACUAAUACCGCAUGUGGUAAUGGAAUUAGUUUUUCAUUACUAAAGCUCACGGGCGCUUAGGGAAGAGCUUGCGUCCUAUCAGGUAGUUGGUGGGGUAACGGCCUACCAAGCCUUCGACGGGUAGCUGGUCUGAGAGGAUGUCCAGCCAGACGGGGACUGAGACACGGCCCCGACUCCUACGGGAGGCAGCAGCAGGGAAUUUUGCGCAAUGGGCGAAAGCCUGACGCAGCAACACCGCGUGAGGGAAGACAGCCUUCGGGUCGUAAACCUCUUUUAUCAGGGAAGAAUAAUGACGGUACCUGAUGAAUAAGUCACGGCUAACUACGUGCCAGCAGCUGCGGUAAUACGUAGGUGGCGAGCGUUAUCCGGAUUCAUUGGGCGUAAAGAGCGCGUAGGUGGUCCUUCAAGUCAGAUGUUAAAUCUCUCGGCUUAACUGGGAGUUGUCAUCUGAUACUGCUGGACUUGAGGGUAGUAGAGGGAGGUGGAAUUCCCGGUGUAGUGGUGAAAUGCGUAGAUAUCGGGAGGAACACCAGUGGCGAAAGCGGCCUCCUAGGCUAUUCCUGACACUGAGGCGCGAAAGCAUGGGGAGCGAACAGGAUCAGAUACCCUGGUAGUCCACGCCCUAAACUGUGGAAACUAGGUACAGGGAGUAUCGACCCUUCCUGCGCCGUAGCUAACGCGUUAAGUUUCCCGCCUGGGGACUACGGUCGCAAGACUAAAACUCAAAG